AGAGAGAUAGGCCUCUCUACGAGGUUUGUCCCCUUCUUUUUCAUAUUCUUCUUCUUCUAAAAUGUAAUAGCUAGUAAAUUGGUUACUUUAAUGGAAAAAUGGCAGCUUCCAAUUCCGAUAAAAACUAGGGCUUCCAGAACAAGGAUAUUAAACUAGUGAUUAAAAUAAGCAAUGAGCUUAAUUAAUGAACGAUUUUUCAUUGUGCUCAUAUUCAAGUGAACUUUUGUUUUCAUUGCACAAACUAACGCUUAGCCAGGUGUAUGUUUAACUAUAGUGUAGGUGAUUGACGGUAUUAUAGUGCUAUAUUAUGGUCGCUUUAUCGGAAGUGCAUUAGUACUUGAUCGUUUCUCUU
rnacentral:misc_RNA from 1 species